GCCCUGCGACAGAGCAUCUUCCUCCGAGUCUCUGACAGCCAGGACAAUGCCUUAUUUAUAAUAAAUCAACCCAAAAGAAUAGGCCUGUUGCCAAGACCUGGGGCUGCCCAGCAAACAGAAAGCAUCUUGGUUCUGAGCUCAGUGUGGUUGCACAUCGUCUCCAAGUCCAAGGUCACUCUGUCCUUUACCAGGGAGGCCGCCUGCCCCUGUGAAGGCUCUUGUGACCCAAAAGAAAACCGAUGUCAUCCCCGACCCAAAAUGCUGAUGGCAAAAACAGAAUUUUAGAAUCAAAGGAAACCUCAGAGGCCAUCACCUGAGCCAAAGGAUCUAAUGGCAGGAUCAAGUUUAGAUUCCUUUGCUGGUCACCUGUGAUUGGUGGACUGGAUGCUCGGAGUAGAAAGCUGCACCUGCCACUAUGGCCUCUGCAGGAAUGAGACGGAAGGCAAGCAGGGGUCAGCUUUCAGGGCCCUGCAGCUCAUGGUCAGGUUUUGGACUUUAUUCUCCUUGUCACGGUCAUCCUUUGGAAGGUUUUAUGCAGGGAAACGAGCCAGAAGAACCCAGGUCUCUUGAAUUUCUGUAAAUCUGUACCACAAUCUGGCGAUAGGGGUGAGGGGAUAUGUGAGGCUGGGUUCUGACACUGGUUGCAGGUCCCAUGAUAGGUGGGUGGGAGGGUGGGAUGGGGACCGAGAGGGCCACUUGGCUGUGAUCAGGUCGCACUAGAAUCCCUGAAACCAAAGGCCUGUGGCAGAAACGGGCUUCAGAGCAGGGCCCAGCUCAGGGGUGAGGCUCGGGGUCCCUCCACUCUCCCUCCCAACCAGGAAUCCGACGGCAAUUCUGCAUUCCUUCCACACGCAUAAACUCCCGGCUCAGGACGGCAGCGUCUACACCCUGGAGAAGCACAGUCUGUUUCAGUAGCCCAGGCAGUGAAGAGAUCACGGGCUUUGGGGGCUUCUUGACAUGGCAGACAUCGGCCAAAAUGUCCCAAGCUUCUGAGCCCCAGCUUCACCCCCUUGUGAGAGGAGCCUGGUGACCCGACCACUCAGCCUGUCGCCGGGAGGAGACCGUGAGCCACUCUGUCGGACUCGCCUUGGGGCAUCUGUCCAAGAUGCUUUAUUAGGCCAGCACCAUGGAAAUGGCUGGAGGCGGGUAUAGGACCCGAGCUCCCAAAGCCCUCCACUGAUUUUUUUAAUGUUUAUUUAUUUUUGAGAGAGAGGGAGUGUGAACAGAGGAGGGGCAGAAAGAGGGGGGCGGCGGACAGAACACCAGACACAGGCCCUGUGCUGUCAGCACAGAGCCCAACGUGGGCUCAAACUCAUGCACUGUGAGAUCAUGACCUGAGCCGAAGGCAGAUGCUCAACCAAGUGAGUCACCCAGACAUCCGCCCUCCACGGAUUUUAAUGCCUCUUAACAUUUGGGAUCCUCUGGCCUGCUUCCUAGGCUGCCUGGGAGGGCUGAUUGAAGUAUGAACUCGGAUACCUUGGAUGGACUGGAUAUCUAGUGAUUAUUAAUUUCUCUCUCGUCCUUUUUACAGGUGCUGGCUGUGGGCAACGCUUUUCAUUUUUUCCCCCCCCGAGGCCUUUAAUUUAAUCUACCGCCUCUAAGAACACAAGACGACAUCUCCGGGUCAUUGGAGGAUUCCUCCUGCUGCUUCUUCCGCCUGCCUGUUCCCAGCAUCUAGAACGGUCUGUGGGUGUACAGGCCAUGGCCAGGCAGGGGAAGCAUCCAGAACUGUGAGCGAGGCCCACUGCCUGGGCUUCCCACUUCCUCAGACCCCGGCCCUGCUCAAACAAUGAUCGAACCUUCUCUUCUCAGCCCCUCCACACUGUCCAGUUGGUAACCACUGGUGGCACACUGGGGCCACCUGGGAAGCUUUAAAAUUACUGAUGUUGGGGGGCCCUGGGUGGCUCAGUCAGUUAAGCAUCCAACUUCAGCUCAGGUCAUGAUGUCAGGGUUUGUGAGUUCGAGCCCUGCAUCAGGCUCUCUGCUAUCAAUGCAGAGCCCGGAGCCUGCUUCAGAUCCUCUCUCUCCCUCUCCCUCUGCCCCUUGCACUCUCUCUUUCUCUCUCUCAAAAAUAAAUACACAUUAAGAAAGUACUGAUCCCUGGACUCCACUCUUGGCAUUUCUGAUCAAAUAGCCUGGGGUGUGGCCCGUGAACUGGGGGAGUUUUUUGAGCUCCCAGGUGAUUCGAAUGUGUGGCGCAGUCUGGGAACCAAGCCCUGUUCUCCAAGAAACUACGGAGCCCACAGGCACAAACACAGACCCACGGCGGGGAUGGUCAGUCACACCCUGAGCGUUCAGAUAGGUGGUCACUUGCCUGAAGAACGGGAAAGAGACGACUGAUUCAUAGAACCUCCACGUUGCCACAAGAUCAAUCCUGUUUGGGUUGGUAGCAUAAUACCUCCAGGCAGCCUAAGGAGGAGAAGGGAGGGGCUGGAAUGACCGGACAGCACUGAAACACUCACACAGAAUCCCACAGCAUUAAAACAUUUGUGAAGCCCCUGACUCUUAAGAGUUUAAAUAUGCAAUUGAGGUAAUAUCCAGAGAAGCCAGGCUUCCUGGCUUUUUGUAGCUCCUUGGGGAAGAAAACCUUCCCUGACCCACCAUCUUGGAGUCAUAACUGGGGCCAUCGGGGUGUGGAGAAAUGCGAAGGAAGGAGAGGAGAGGGCUGGGCAUAAAAUCCCCAGAAGGAGCAGGGUUCACUCUGGCUGCAAGGCUCCCUGAGACUUCUCAAACAGGGAGGAGGGUGCACACUAUCUUUGUGCCACUUUGGGUGCAAGAGACGGCCUGGGAGAUGAGGUUUCGAUUCGAAUAUACUAGAACUUCAGGAAUACCAUGAUGGUUUGGGGCUUGGGGGGUAACGGAACAGACCCUUAGAGACUGGGACUGGCCUGGACUCUUCACUACGUAGAAUAACAUCGUGUACCAUCUGGUGUCAGACCCGCAGACCUGCAGAGACCAUCCGUACACGAGGGUACACCGUAACACAGGUUCAUGGUAGGCACACGUUCGGUCCCACGUAGCUGUAGUCGGGGGACGCCACCCUCCUCUUCUCUGUGCUCCCAACAACCCACAACACCAUGAAGCAGAAUCUCCCUCUGAGGUUUCAGCAGGAACACGUCUACCCUUCUCUCCACCUCUCACUAUUCUCCCCACAUCCAGCCCACAGGGCAGGAGUGAUGGAUCUGGCCGGCGUCCAACAUCCACUGGUGCAUGAUGGUCUACUGGUCAGGACCAACGGCCCACUCUCCCGUACUGGGCACACGUAAGGCAUCUCUUUCUGUCUUGGCUCACGGGUUCCCCCACUGGCAGAUGUGAGGGGCCACAUUUCCUUGUAGCUGAUGAGCUAAGUCCUUGGACUCUAGGUCUGCGCUUCCCUGUGGGUCCCUAGGUCAGGAGAGGGGUGGGAAGUAGGAGGAGGAGAAGCCUAGUAUGGACCCAGAGUCAAAUUUUCCAAUACGGUUAGUAAAACAGCUGAUGCCUUGGUCCCUCUCAGAGUCCCAUGUCUCUUUCUCGCUUGUCUUCAAACGUGGAUGGGAGAACGUUGGGACUGUCACGUUGGUGCCACACAGACAGGACGCCCAUAGCCGCCCACAAGCAAGCACGGUCCUGGGCUCUGUCCUCAGUCCCAGGCACGCCCACUGUGGUGCAAGCACACACAGCCCCCCGGCCCCCCCACAGACAUGAGCUCAGUCCCGACCCGGCUUAUCCCCAGGAGGACAGACCUGAAUGAGUUCAGCGGCCGGCUUCCUUCUUUUCUCAAAGUGCUUCUGCCGGUGCUGCUCCUGUACCUUGAGUGCCAGCCCCGACCCCAGGAUGCCCUGGAGGGAGAAGUCAGGCCCGGGUCAGCCCCGCUGGCCUCUCUGGGGGCCCCACCCCCACUCCCAGGGCCACAAAGGCCCCCUUCUUCUCUGCCAGGGAGUAGGUUUUGGGUUAAGUGGAAUCUCGGUGUCAGGAAGGCCUGGCUUCAGUUCCUGACUCUGCCGCUUUCUAGUGGUGAGAUCCCUGGGCAAGUCACUUAUCUACUGCACCUUGGCGUCCUGUACCGGGAAGUGGGCUAAUAGUACCUUCCUCCUAAUUUUGUUACGGAAAAAGUGAAAUCAUGUAUAGGAGCUGUUUAGUAAGAAGAAAUAUGACACAGAACAGAUGCCCAGUAAAUGUUGAGUGGAAUUUAAAAAUAUUUUAGCCGCUUGGGGCGCCUGGGGGGCUUGGUCAGUUAAGCAUCUGCUUUUGGCUCAGGUCAUGACCUCAUGGUUUGUGGAUUAGAGCCCCGAAAUGGGCUCUGAGCUAAUAGCAGGGAGCCUGCUUUGGAUUCUCUGUCUCCCUCUCUUUCUGCCCCCCCCCCCCCCGCCCCGUGCUCACUCUCUCUCUCUCUCCAAAAUAAGUAAAUGUUAAAAGAAUAAUAAAAAUAUUUUAGUGCUGGAAUUGUCCCUUAAGACUUCUACCAGAAGUUCCCAGAAUUGUGACCUGUUCUCGUGUCCAGGUCGGCCUCACACGUGGAUUACAUGGAUAGAAGCCACGCCCUUUUUAAGUUAGAGGAGACCAUGUGGCACCCCCACAGCCCCCAACCUAUUCUAGAUGAGGAGACUGAGAUUCGCAAAGGUCAUAUGCCCAAGGUCAGAGAGCUUAGGAAAAACAGACAAGGUAGGGCUACCGCGGAGGACGAGUAUCGCUAAAGAGGAAGGCUGGGAGAUGAACCGGGGUGGGGGGUGGGGGGGGUGAGGAAGGGCGAUUUUUCCCUAAGAAGUUUCUUUCCAGCCUCACGAUUAAGAGACAGAACCCACAACCCAAGAGCCUUGUGACUGUGGAAACUUGACUGACCUAAUUGGGCCUCAGUUUUCUCAUCUGGAAAAUGGUGACAGACACCGCACCAAACUCACGAUGUUGUCAUGAAGAUUCAAUGACAUGACGUAAGUAAAGCAUUUGGCACGAUUCCAGCACAGGGUAAGUCCGACAAGUGCUUUCUAGGACUGUUGCUACUGUUACGCUCAUGGGCGCCGGGCUUUGGUGGGUUAUUCUAUCACGGGUCAAGACUCACUCUGGCGGGAAAUGAAUUGUUUUUACAUAAGCCAGGACGCGAAAUGACAGGACAAGGGAAGGGAGCUCACAUUGACGAAGGACCUGCCACGUGCAAGGCGCUGGGGAAAACGUGGGUGGGAGAUACAAUCUCAGCCCCCAGGGAGCUCACAGUCUGCAGUCGGGGGGCGGGGUGGGGGGAGGCAGCAUGGGGUCAGAGAUGCCUUUGCAGAGUCAGGCCCAGAGGAGGGAGGGACUCACUGAGCUUAGAGAAGGCAGCCUGGGGACUGGACUUGAAACAGCCCAGCGCGUGGACUUGAGGGGGUCUAAGGGGCUAGCGUCCACCUAGGAGGUUCAGCUGGGGCCGGGUGGGCGGCGGAGGGGGUCCCGCGUGUCACUCUAGGGUAAACAUCGAAGGUACUUACCGCUGGAAGGGCAAAAAAGGAGACGCCGAUUAAGGAAAAGGUGGCUGCAAUCAGGCGGCCCUCCCACGUUUUGGGCGUCUUGUCUCCGUAGCCAAUGGUGGCCAGUGUGAUCUGAAGAGAGAAGAAGUCAGACAUGAGCCUUCGCGGGGAGAGGGAAGUCAGCUGAGCUCCACCUGUCGGCCUUUUGUGCUGCCUGGGGAUGUUUCCCCCAUGGGAGACCAGGUACCAAGUGCCAAGUAGACAAGAAAUGAAGAAAGGAUGAGCGUCAGGAACCCAAUGUACCAGGCGGUGAUGAGCUCCUGGGAGAGCAAGCAGUGGACAAGGGCGGUGGUCACUGAGAAGUCUCUGGAUGCAUGCUGGAGGCAGAUACGCUGGAGGUGGAGUCCGGGCUUAUGAACAUUGUGACUGUGGGCGGGUUACGUACCUCCCUGAGCCUCACCUCCCAUCACCAUGAAAGGGGAUCAGUAAUACGGUCAUUCUUUCCUUUUUCUUUCUUUCUGUUUUUAAAUUUGAGUAUAGUUGACACAUUGCAUUAGUUUCAGGUGUGCAACAUAGUAAUUCUGCAAGGUUACACAUUACGUUAUGCUCGCCCCAAGUGUAGCUAUCAUCUGUCCCGCUAUAGCGCUAUUACAAUGUCAUCGGCCAUAUUCCUUAUGCUGUCUUUUAUUCCUGAGACUUAUUCAUUCCAUCACUGGAAGCCUGUAUCUUCCAUUCCCCUUGACCCAUUUUGUCCAACCCUCUACCUCCUUCCCUCUGGCAACCAUCAGUUUGUUCUCUGUAUGUUUUUUAAAUGUUUAUUUAUUUAUUUUUGAGAGAAA